rnacentral:lncRNA from 1 species
UGUUUUGUUAAGCCUACUAGUUCAAUGACUAUUAAAACAGGAAAGCAUGUUGAUGCAAAUGGGAAGAUAUAUCUUCCUUAUCUACAUGAAUGGAAACACCCACAGUCAGACUUGUUGGGGCUUAUUCAGGUCAUGAUUGUGGUAUUUGGAGAUGAACCUCCAGUCUUCUCUCGUCCUAUUUCGGCAUCCUAUCCGCCAUACCAGGCAACGGGGCCACCAAAUAGCAUGCCAGGUGGAAUCUCUCCAUACCCAUCCGGAUACCCUCCCAAUCCCAGUGGUUACCCAGGCUGUCCUUACCCACCUGGUGGUCCAUAUCCUGCCACAACAAGUUCUCAGUACCCUUCUCAGCCUCCUGUGACCACUGUCCCAGUAGGGAUGGCACAAUCAGCGAGGACACCAUCCGAGCCUCUCUCAUCUCUGCGGUCAGUGACAAACUGAGAUGGCGGAUGAAGGAGGAAAUGGAUCGUGCCCAGGCAGAGCUCAAUGCCUUGAAACGAACAGAAGAAGACCUGAAAAAGGGUCACCAGAAACU